UACUAGUGAUCUGAGGAAG
rnacentral:miRNA from 1 species